CGACGAUCAGUAGCCGACCUGAGAGGGUGACCGGCCACAUUGGGACUGAGACACGGCCCAAACUCCUACGGGAGGCAGCAGUGGGGAAUAUUCACAAUGGCGGAAACCCUGAUGCAAGACGCCGCGUGAGGGAAGAAGUAUUUCGGUUGUAAACUCUUCAGCAGGGAAGAAAGGACAGUACCUGACUAAGAAGCCCCGGCUAA
rnacentral:rRNA from 1 species